UUAAGUUAUAAUUCUGUUCGGCAUGCUGAGUCUCAACGAGUCGUGGAGUCGGGACGACUGUCAAUCAAGCCAUUCGACGUUGCCUUACUGACUUCCUUAAAGUCUCCUGUCCGGGGAAAACGGGAACACGGGAACUGGCUUUAAGAUGAUGACAGAGGAACAACGACCACAUCAAGUUGUCAACAAACAACCCCCGGAAACCAACCAACUGACAGAAUGAGAGAUUUCGGGAGUGGCAGCGGAUCCGCUGAGAUGCUGAGAAUACGCACACAAUACGUGUGCACAUGGAAAUUCCCAUACCAUUCCAAUCCCUUCCCCAAAAUUCGUACCGAUUCAUAGUUCUCAUUUCCCAAUUGCCUAAUUUUCCCAUGCAACAUGCAUGGCGUCUGAUUGAUUGGAAAAGCCAUUGAGCAUCCACAGUCUGAGAUGGAGAGAGAGUGCGGCUUUCGUUAAGUCCUGCAUUGGGUCAAAGGGUAUGAGGGGGUAGAUCCGACUUCAGCGACUUUGAUAUGAUAUUUUUCAGAGGAAAAUAUCAUUGAAGGAAAAAUCUGAAAAA